CUAGUCAACCUUGGGCCAACUGUCUCCAAGAACUGGGACCAGCAGCCACUUUCCUGCAGGAGCCAGGCUUUUCCGGAAAGGCACCAGAGCUGUUUCCAGUGAACAGCCAUGCUCAUGGUCCUCAUCUCGUUCCUCGGGAUACAUUUUUACCGGGAUGUCCAAACACAGACAGUUUCCCAGUCUGAUGCCCAUGUCACCAUCUUCGAAGGAGACUCGGUGGAGCUGAGAUGCAACUAUUCCUAUGGUGGAUCCGUUUACCUCGCAUGGUAUAUCCAGCACCAUGGCCGUGGCCUCCAGUUUCUCCUCAAGUACUAUUCGGGAAGCCCAGUGGUUCAAGGAGUGAAUGGCUUCGAGGCUGAGUUCAUCAAGAGUAACUCUUCCUUCCACCUACGGAAAGCCUCUGUGCACUGGAGCGACUCUGCUGUGUACUUCUGUGCUCUGAGCGCACAGUGUGUGGGGCUGCAGGGGGAGCUGAGCACAAACCUGUAAGAUGCUGACGAGGAAACCGCAGCUCAGUGACUCUCAGUCAUUCAUGCUCAUCAUCCAUGGGAGCAACAUAAAUAAACUCACUGGUUCUCCAA